GCAAACUCUCUCUCUCCAAACGUAAAUAUCAAAUUCCACCCCUUUAGUUUCUCUUUAUAUUUUUGAGGCUUCUAUAGAGUUAUAGUGAGUUAUGUUGAUUUUGUUUUUUUUGUGUGUGUGUGUAUAGAUGGUCAUAAUACUCCGGUAUUCCAAGAGAAUGUUGUGUUUUCAUUAAUUGAAGGCCUUAGAGAGAUAAGUGUUGCAGUUUGGAACAGCAAUACAAAAGACGAUUUCAUUGGCAGCGGAAAGGUCCAAUUGAGGAAGGUUCAUUCAAAGGGUUAAGACGACCGCACUUUAUGUCUGUAUACUAAUAGUAGGGGUAAGUGCUAUUAAUUACUAACCCUUUUAAGCGUAUAAUCUGUUACUAACCCUUUUAAAGUAUAGCAUGAAAGAUAAUGGAAUUAAUUGUUGUAAUUUUUAUUUUCUUUCCAUGUUUUGAAUUUCCUCUAUAUUAUUAUUACAACUGAGCAAAGAUUGAGAAAGUAACAUUACUACUCUAA